rnacentral:misc_RNA from 1 species
AACAGACGUCCACCUACUGGU